rnacentral:rRNA from 1 species
CCUACGGGCGGGCAGCAGUGGGGAAUAUUGGACAAUGGGGGCAACCCUGAUCCAGCCAUGCCGCGUGUGUGAAGAAGGCCCUCGGGUUGUAAAGCACUUUCAGUGAGGAAGAACGCCUGGUGGUUAAUACCCAUCAGGAAAGACAUCACUCACAGAAGAAGCACCGGCUAACUCCGUGCCAGCAGCCGCGGUAAUACGGAGGGUGCGAGCGUUAAUCGGAAUUACUGGGCGUAAAGCGCGCGUAGGUGGCUUGAUAAGCCGGUUGUGAAAGCCCCGGGCUCAACCUGGGAACGGCAUCCGGAACUGUCAAGCUAGAGUGCAGGAGAGGAAGGUAGAAUUCCCGGUGUAGCGGUGAAAUGCGUAGAGAUCGGGAGGAAUACCAGUGGCGAAGGCGGCCUUCUGGACUGACACUGACACUGAGGUGCGAAAGCGUGGGUAGCAAACAGGAUUAGAUACCCUGGUAGUC